CCUACGGGUGGCUGCAGUGGGGAAUAUUGCACAAUGGGCGCAAGCCUGAUGCAGCCAUGCCGCGUGUGUGAAGAAGGCCUUCGGGUUGUAAAGCACUUUCAGCGGGGAGGAAGGCGGUGAGGUUAAUAACCUCAUCGAUUGACGUUACCCGCAGAAGAAGCACCGGCUAACUCCGUGCCAGCAGCCGCGGUAAUACGGAGGGUGCAAGCGUUAAUCGGAAUUACUGGGCGUAAAGCGCACGCAGGCGGUCUGUCAAGUCGGAUGUGAAAUCCCCGGGCUCAACCUGGGAACUGCAUUCGAAACUGGCAGACUAGAGUCUUGUAGAGGGGGGUAGAAUUCCAGGUGUAGCGGUGAAAUGCGUAGAGAUCUGGAGGAAUACCGGUGGCGAAGGCGGCCCCCUGGACAAAGACUGACGCUCAGGUGCGAAAGCGUGGGGAGCAAACAGGAUUAAAUACCCCAGUAGUC
rnacentral:rRNA from 1 species